CAGUUGAUACUGUCAGUCUUGAGUACAGUAGAGGUGGGCGGAAUUCGUGGUGUAGCGGUGAAAUGCUUAGAUAUCACGAAGAACUCCGAUUGCGAAGGCAGCUCACUGGACUGCAACUGACACUGAUGCUCGAAAGUGUGGGUAUCAAACAGGAUUAGAUACCCUGGUAGUCCACACAGUAAACGAUGAAUACUCGCUGUUUGCGAUAUACAGUAAGCGGCCAAGCGAAAGCAUUAAGUAUUCCACCUGGGGAGUACGCCGGCAACGGUGAAACUCAAAGGAAUUGACGGGGGCCCGCACAAGCGGAGGAACAUGUGGUUUAAUUCGAUGAUACGCGAGGAACCUUACCCGGGCUUAAAUUGCAGUGGAAUGAUGUGGAAACAUGUCAGUGAGCAAUCACCGCUGUGAAGGUGCUGCAUGGUUGUCGUCAGCUCGUGCCGUGAGGUGUCGGCUUAAGUGCCAUAACGAGCGCAACCCUUAUCUUCAGUUACUAACAGGUCAUGCUGAGGACUCUGGAGAGACUGCCGUCGUAAGAUGUGAGGAAGGUGGGGAUGAUGUCAAAUCAGCACGGCCCUUACGUCUGGGGCUACACACGUGUUACAAUGGGGGGUACAGAAGGCAGCUAGCGGGUGACCGUAUGCUAAUCCCAAAAUCCUCUCUCAGUUCGGAUCGAAGUCUGCAACCCGACUUCGUGAAGCUGGAUUCGCUAGUAAUCGCGCAUCAGCCACGGCGCGGUGAAUACGUUCCCGGGCCUUGUACACACCGCCCGUCAAGCCAUGGGAGCCGGGGGUACCUGAAGUACGUAACCGCAAGGAUCGUCCUAGGGUAAAACUGGUGACUGGGGCUAAGUCGUAACAAGGUAACC
rnacentral:rRNA from 1 species